rnacentral:rRNA from 1 species
CCAAUAGCGUAUAUUAAAGUUGUUGCAGUUAAAAAGCUCGUAGUUGAAUUUCGGGGUUAGUAGGUUGGUCAUGCCUCUGGUAUGUACUGGUCUCACUGAUUCCUCCUUCCUGAUGAACCGUAAUGCCAUUAAUUUGGUGUUGCGGGGAAUUUGGACUGUUACUUUGAAAAAAUUAGAGUGUUUAAAGCAAGCUAACGCUUGAAUACAUUAGCAUGGAAUAAUGAAAUAGGACGUUCGAUCUUAUUUUGUUGGUUUCUAGGAUUGACGUAAUGAUUAAUAGGGAUAGUUGGGGGCAUUAGUAUUCAAUUGUCAGAGGUGAAAUUCUUGGAUUUAUUGAAGACUAACUACUGCGAAAGCAUUUGCCAAGGAUGUUUUCAUUAAUCAAGAACGAAAGUUAGGGGAUCGAAGACGAUCAGAUACCGUCGUAGUCUUAACCAUAAACUAUGCCGACUAGGGAUCGGAUGAUGUUAAUUUUUUAAUGACUCAUUCGGCGCCUUACG